rnacentral:rRNA from 1 species
GAUAAACGCUGGCGGCGCACAUAAGACAUGCAAGUCGAACGGACUUAACUCAUUCUUUUAGAUUGAGAGCGGUUAGUGGCGGACUGGUGAGUAACACGUAAGCAACCUGCCUAUCAGAGGGGAAUAACAGUGAGAAAUCAUUGCUAAUACCGCAUAAGCUAGUAGUAUCGCAUGAUAUAGCUAGAAAAGGAGCAAUCCGCUGAUAGAUGGGCUUGCGUCUGAUUAGCUAGUUGGUGGGGUAACGGCCUACCAAGGCGACGAUCAGUAGCCGGACUGAGAGGUUGAACGGCCACAUUGGGACUGAGAUACGGCCCAGACUCCUACGGGAGGCAGCAGUCGGGAAUAUUGCGCAAUGGAGGAAACUCUGACGCAGUGACGCCGCGUAUAGGAAGAAGGUUUUCGGAUUGUAAACUAUUGUCGUGAGGGAAGAAAUUGACAGUACCUCAGGAGGAAGCUCCGGCUAACUAUGUGCCAGCAGCCGCGGUAAUACAUAGGGAGCAAGCGUUAUCCGGAUUUAUUGGGUGUAAAGGGUGCGUAGACGGGAAAUUAAGUUAGUUGUGAAAUCCCUCGGCUUAACUGAGGAACUGCAACUAAAACUGAUUUUCUUGAGUACUGGAGAGGAAAGUGGAAUUCCUAGUGUAGCGGUGAAAUGCGUAGAUAUUAGGAGGAACACCAGUGGCGAAGGCGACUUUCUGGACAGUAACUGACGUUGAGGCACGAAAGUGUGGGGAGCAAACAGGAUUAGAUACCCUGGUAGUCCACACUGUAAACGAUGGAUACUAGGUGUAGGAUGUAUUAAGCAUUCUGUGCCGCCGCUAACGCAUUAAGUAUCCCACCUGGGGAGUACGACCGCAAGGUUGAAACUCAAAGGAAUUGACGGGGGCCCGCACAAGCAGUGGAGUAUGUGGUUUAAUUCGAAGCAACGCGAAGAACCUUACCAGGGCUUGACAUAAACAGGAAUAAGCUAGAGAUAGCUUAGCUCUUCGGAGUCUGUUUACAGGUGGUGCAUGGUUGUCGUCAGCUCGUGUCGUGAGAUGUUGGGUUAAGUCCCGCAACGAGCGCAACCCCUGCUUUUAGUUGCCAGCACGUAAUGGUGGGAACUCUAGAAGGACUGCCGGUGAUAAAUCGGAGGAAGGUGGGGACGACGUCAAAUCAUCAUGCCCUUUAUGUCCUGGGCUACACACGUACUACAAUGGCCGCAACAGAGGGAAGCAAAAUAGUGAUAUGGAGCAAAACCCUAAAAACGGUCUCAGUUCGGAUUGAAGGCUGAAAUUCGCCUUCAUGAAGCUGGAAUUGCUAGUAAUGGCAGGUCAGCAUACUGCCGUGAAUACGUUCCCGGGCCUUGUACACACCGCCCGUCACACCAUGAGAGUUGGGAAUACCCGAAGCCUGUGAGCUAACUUUUAGAGGCAGCAGUCGAAGGUAGAAUCAAUGAUUGGGGUGAAGUCGUAACAAGGUAGCCGUAUCGGAAGGUGCGGCUGGAUCACCUCCUUUCUAAGGAGAAUUUAAAUCUUAAAUGAUAUUGUUUAUUUUUCAAUGUACUUUAAAACUGUAAAUAACAUUACAGUUUUUUAUACGUUAAGUACAUUGUAAAUUAAAAUCUUUUAUUAAGUAUCAAUAUGGGGGUAUAGCUCAGUUUGGCUAGAGCGCCUGCCUUGCAAGCAGGAGGUCAGGAGUUCGACUCUCCUUACCUCCACCAGCUGAUAUUUAAUAUCAGAAUUGCUUAUUAUAAACAAGUAAUGCAAGGAAGACGAGGAGGAAUUUGUGAAAUAAUACAUAUGUAUAUCGAACAAAUUAUGACAAAGUCUGACGUAGCAGUACGAAGUUUAGAAUAUGCAAGAAAGUACAUUGAAAAAUAUAUAGAUAAAUAUGAUGAAAUUAAGGUAAACUAGCAUACGAAAGUAUGCACAAUUGAACCAAAACAAAGUUGUAAAGUUGCAAAACUAAACAAUGAUGGACAAUUAACCGAAAGGUUAAGCUACUAAGAGCGUAGGGUGAAUGCCUUGGCACCAAGAGCCGAUGAAGGACGUGAUAAGCUGCGAUAAGCUAUGGGUAGGAGCAAAUAUCCGAUAAUCCAUAGAUUUCCGAAUGAGGGAACUCAACUAGUGGAAGAAUACUAGUUAUCCAUGUGUAAGUAAAGUAGCACAUGUGAGGGGAACGUGGGGAACUGAAACAUCUCAGUACCCACAGGAAAAGAAAGAAAAAUCGAUUCCUUGAGUAGUGGCGAGCGAAAGAGGAAGAGCCUAAACCUAUCGUAGUAAUAUGGUAGGGGUUUGGACUACAUAAUUGAUUCAUGAAGAUUAGCAGAAUUACUUGGAAAAGUAGACCAUAGAUAGUGAAAGUCUAGUAUGUGAAAAUCUGAUUGACAUGGUAGUAUCCAGAGUAGUGCGAGACACGUGAAAUCUCGUAUGAACACGCGGGGACCAUCCCGUAAGGCUAAAUACUACUUGGUGACCGAUAGUGGAGC